UGUGGAAUCCCUCCAACAAAACUCAAGAUCUGCUGGUGAAGAACGUCACGGAGUCAGAUCUGGGUCUGUACUACUGCGCUGUUCAGGAGAUAAAGUUCAUCAAAGAUAGAACUGGAGCAGAUGUUCGUGCAGAUGUUUACCAUUAUGGAAACAGGACCACUCGACUCUCUCUGCUUGACUCGACUGCUCCUUGUGCUGAUCUCCAGACCCCCUCCACCCCUCCUGUCUCAGACUGUAGCGUCUGCUGGAAGCUGCUGGUCAGUGUGUGUCCUCUGUGUGUCCUCCUGUCCUCCACCUGUCUGUGCUGCAUCUGCAGACACACAACUAAAGACAAUCAGGAACGGGGGGAGAAGAAACAAAGCCAGACAAGUAGAAAGAAUGAUGAGGUUGGAGGAGGCGAUGUUUGUUAUGCUUCGUUGGACCACCAGAGCAGAGGCCAGAGACGUCUGAAGAAGAGAGUUGAGGGCUCAGAUUUCAGCACAUAUUCUGAGGUUAAAACUGAUCAAAUGUAAAAACAGAUGAGGUGGAUUCUUGACAUUGUUCUGAUGAAGGAAAUGAUACAGUUGUGCACUGAUUCUGAUUUGAAGUUGAAGAGAUUCAGUAAAACCCACUUCGAGCUUUUUCACAUGAUCAGAUUCAGUUUCAGUGUUUUUGGAUAUUUUUUAAAAUUUCUGAAUAAAAAAAUGAAGCGUUUAAAGUUUGACACCUUUCUGAUUUCGCGGUUACUAAUCGCCCAGUUUGACGUGAUUUCAAAUGCUAAUUUAAAUAGCUUAUUGCUCAUUUCUGACCUUUUCUUUUCUCCCUAAGUGAGAUUAAUUUGCAUCUGUUACUUCUUAAUAGCUGUCUAUUAAACAUCUGCUCUUACGGGAUCUGUGGGAGUUUUCAAACUGCAUGUCAUCCCAAGCAGGUCUUUGUUAUUAAACAGUUGAGGAGUUGGAUUGAGCACAAACACACGAUGACUGUUUAUUUCACUUCUGAGGGGAGUUUUUUAAAGAGUUAUACAGAAUUAAGUUACACGAAGUAUGAAUAGAGAGUGUAGAGCAGGUUGAUCUGCAUGUUCAGCAUCUGAUGUGUCUUGAAGGUGGGAGGAGCAUUUAAAAGAUGAUGGUGGUUUGGGGUUGAUUUUGGGGUUGAAAAGAUGUUUUACACCCAAAAGCUGAAAAUGCAAUAAU